CGUCGAUUUGCCUUCCUCGCUCGGGCGCCGCUUCCCGCGGUGCUGCCUCACCCGUCUUCUUCAGAGCUCGAUGGCGACACACUGAUGAUUGAUUUUGAUGGAUGGAAAUUGGAGAUGGCCCAUCCCGUUGAUUUUGAUUUCCCUCUACUCUUCAUGUUCCGUUAUGAUUGGUUUUGACGGAUGGCUCACAUCUUUAACUCUGGUCACAGAUUAUACAAGAAAAACUAGAUGGAGGUGGCCUCCCUAUUAUUGUUGGCGGCACAAAUUUCUACAUCCAGGUAAUUUUGAUUUACUGGCAUGCAUUUCUGUAUGAUGAAGUUCAUCUUAUAUUUAUUGACUGCACUAUCUGAUUUGUUGUCGUGCCUUUGCCCUUCAAUAUUCUAGGCCCUUAUUAGCCCAAUCACGAGAGCUAGGUUUGGGGGCACUACCUUAAGUUGUGAAUUUCCGAUUAACAAAGAUUGUGAUUCAGCUGGCUAAAAUAUUUCUCUUAUUUCAGUCUAAUACACGUAACCUUGGUUUGGUGUCUAGAGAACCUUGUAAUCUCAUCUUUAGGCAUAUUUUGUAAAGAAAACUUUUUUGUUUGCCUUCUCAAUUUGGUCUGAUGGAUGAUCAGGCUGCCAGGCAUUCCAGCCCUUCUCCAUUUAAUAGGCCAAGGGUUAAAGCAUAGAGAAGAGGAUGAUAUGGAGAACUGUUCGUAUGUCAUCCGGA